rnacentral:rRNA from 1 species
UACGUAGGGUGCAAGCGUUGUCCGGAAUUAUUGGGCGUAAAGAGCGUGUAGGCGGCCCGAUUAGUCCGCUGUGAAAGUCCAGGGCUCAACCCUGGAAUGCCGGUGGAUACUGUCGGGCUAGAGUCCGGAAGGGGCGAGUGGAAUUCCUGGUGUAGCGGUGAAAUGCGCAGAUAUCAGGAGGAACACCGAUGGCGAAGGCAGCUCGCUGGGACGUGACUGACGCUGAGGCGCGAAAGCGUGGGGAGCAAACAGG